rnacentral:rRNA from 1 species
AUUGAACGCUGGCGGCAUGCCUUACACAUGCAAGUCGAACGGCAGCACGGGAGCAAUCCUGGUGGCGAGUGGCGAACGGGUGAGUAAAGUAUCGGAACGUGCCCAGUCGUGGGGGAUAACGUAGCGAAAGUUACGCUAAUACCGCAUACGAUCUAUGGAUGAAAGCGGGGGAUCGCAAGACCUCGCGCGAUUGGAGCGGCCGACAUCAGAUUAGGUAGUUGGUGGGGUAAAGGCCCACCAAGCCGACGGUCUGUAGCUGGUCUGAGAGGACGACCAGCCACACUGGGACUGAGACACGGCCCAGACUCCUACGGGAGGCAGCAGUGGGGAAUUUUGGACGAUGGGCGAAAGCCUGAUCCAGCCAUGCCGCGUGCAGGAUGAAGGCCUUCGGGUUGUAAACUGCUUUUGUACGGAACGAAAAGGACUGCCCUAAUACGGUGGUCCCAUGACGGUACCGUAAGAAUAAGCACCGGCUAACUACGUGCCAGCCGCCGCCGUAA